AGUGAACGCUGGCGGUAGGCCUAACACAUGCAAGUCGAACGGCAGCACAGUAAGAGCUUGCUCUUACGGGUGGCGAGUGGCGGACGGGUGAGGAAUACAUCGGAAUCUACUUUUUCGUGGGGGAUAACGUAGGGAAACUUACGCUAAUACCGCAUACGACCUACGGGUGAAAGCAGGGGAUCUUCGGACCUUGCGCGAUUGAAUGAGCCGAUGUCGGAUUAGCUAGUUGGCGGGGUAAGGGCCCACCAAGGCGACGAUCCGUAGCUGGUCUGAGAGGAUGAUCAGCCAAACUGGAAAUGAGACACGGUCAAGACUCCUACGGGAGGCAGCAGUGGGGAAUAUUGGACAAUGGGCGCAAGCCUGAUCCAGCAAUACCGCGUGGGUGAAGAAGGCCUUCGGGUUGUAAAGCCCUUUUGUUGGGAAAGAAAAGCAGCAGGUUAAUACCCCGCUGUUCUGACGGUACCCAAAGAAUAAGCACCGGCUAACUUCGUG
rnacentral:rRNA from 1 species